GAUGAACGCUAGCUACAGGCUUAACACAUGCAAGUCGCGGGGCAGCAUGGGGGUUGCUUGCAAUCCCCGAUGGCGACCGGCGCACGGGUGAGUAACGCGUAUCUAACCUGCCCUUCACCACGGGAUAACCCGGCGAAAGUCGGACUAAUACCGUAUGUUGUCCAUUGACGGCAUCCGAUUUGGACGAAAGGCUUGGCGGUGAGGGAUGGGGAUGCGUCCGAUUAGCCAGACGGCGGGGUAACGGCCCACCGUGGCUACGAUCGGUAGGGGUUCUGAGAGGAAGGUCCCCCACACUGGAACUGAGACACGGUCCAGACUCCUACGGGAGGCAGCAGUGAGGAAUAUUGGUCAAUGGGCGUAAGCCUGAACCAGCCAAGUAGCGUGCAGGAUGACGGCCCUAUGGGUUGUAAACUGCUUUUAUGCGGGGAUAAAGUGGCCCACGUGUGGGCUUUUGCAGGUACCGCAUGAAUAAGGACCGGCUAAUUCCGUG
rnacentral:rRNA from 1 species